AAAAAGUUCAGGUCCAUCGCCUAAUUCAUGAAGCCCAACAACUAAAGAAUCCGGCCUACAGAACUAGAUCCAUCAGUCUUCUUCAUCAUAUAAGCUGCAAUGAGCCCUAGCCGUCACCUGCAGGAAUGGUACGGAGGACGACCAAUGUCGUAAUCAUAGAACCAGAACUGAGCAGGCCUCACACCAGUAGAUAAUGUGCCAAAUGAAGCCCAGGCGAGGCCACAAAAGAAACCCCAAAAAGAAUCGACGUCACAGAGCUUUCCAUCACCGCUUAACCAGGGACCAAACUUAGUGAAAGUCUAAAAGGUGGUAAUGGUAGAGCUUUCCCCAUCUUAACCAUUAAAGGGCAGGAGGCUAACAAUUAGCAUCGGAGAAGUCCCUGAAAUUAUAUUGGAAGAACCAAAAAUCGUGUAUACCCCUGAAGUUAUCUGGUCUUUA
rnacentral:misc_RNA from 1 species